UACGUAGGGGGCAAGCGUUAUCCGGAAUCACUGGGCGUAAAGGGUGCGUAGGCGGACUUUCAAGCCAGGGGUGAAAGGCAUAGGCUUAACCAAUGUAAGCCUUUGGAACUGGGAGUCUUGAGUGCAGGAGAGGUAAGUGGAAUUCCUAGUGUAGAGGUGAAAUUCGUAGAGAUUAGGAGGAACACCAGUGGCGAAGGCGGCUUCCUGGACUGUAACUGACGCUGAGGCACGAAAGCGUGGGGAGCAAACAGG
rnacentral:rRNA from 1 species